rnacentral:rRNA from 1 species
GACGAACGCUGGCGGCGUGCUUAACACAUGCAAGUGGUGCGACGAACCAGGGCUUGCCCUGGGGCAAAGCCGCGAACGGGUGAGUAACACGUGGGUAAUCUGCCCCGAUGACCGGGACAACCCGAGGAAACUCGGGCUAAUACCGGAUGAUGAGCCUUGGCGUAAGCCUUGUCUCUAAAGGAAGCUUCGGCCUCCGCAUUGGGAGGAGCCCGCGGCCCAUUAGCUUGUUGGUGGGGUAAUGGCCUACCAAGGCAACGAUGGGUAGCUGGUCUGAGAGGACGAUCAGCCACACUGGGACUGAGACACGGCCCAGACUCCUACGGGAGGCAGCAGUGGGGAAUUGUUCGCAAUGGGCGCAAGCCUGGCGACGCAACGCCGCGUGGAGGAUGAAGACCUU